AUUGAACGCUGGCGGCAUGCCUAACACAUGCAAGUCAAGCGGAUGAAUGGAGCUUGCUCCUGGAUUCAUCGGCGGACGGGUGAGUAAUGCCUAGGAAUCUGCCUGGUAGUGGGGGAUAACGUCCGGAAACGGGCGCUAAUACUGCAUACGUCCUGAUGGAGAAAGUGGGGGGUCUUCGGACCUCACACUAUCAUAUUAGCCUAGGUCGGAUUAGCUAGUUGGUGGGGUAAAGGCCUACCAAGGCGACGAUCCGUAACUGGUCUGAGGGGAUGAUCAGUCACAUGGGAACAGAGAAACGGUCCAGACUCCGACAGGAGGAAGCGGUGGGGACUAUUGGACAAUGGGCGAAAGCCUGAUACAGCCAAGCCGCGUGUGUGCAGAAGGUCCUCGGCUUGUAAAGCACUUAAAGUUGGGAGGAAAGGAAGUAAGUUAAUACCUUGCUGUUUUGACGUUACCAACAGAAUAAGCACCGGCUAACUCCGUG
rnacentral:rRNA from 1 species